rnacentral:rRNA from 1 species
AUUGAACGCUGGCGGCAUGCCUAACACAUGCAAGUCGAACGGCAGCACAGCAUGUAGCAAUACAUGUGGGUGGCGAGUGGCGGACGGGUGAGUAACGCGUGGGAAUCUGCCCUAUAGUGGGGGACAACCCGACGAAAGUCGGGCUAAUACCGCAUACGCCUACGGGGAAAGGCUUCGGCCGCUAUUGGAUGAGCCCGCGUCGGAUUAGCUAGUUGGUGAGGUAAUGGCUCACCAAGGCGACGAUCCGUAGCUGGUCUGAGAGGACGAUCAGCCACACUGGGACUGAGACACGGCCCAGACUCCUACGGGAGGCAGCAGUGGGGAAUAUUGCACAAUGGGCGAAAGCCUGAUGCAGCAAUGCCGCGUGUGUGAAGAAGGCCUGCGGGUUGUAAAGCACUUUCGGUAGGGAAGAUUAUGACGGUACCUACAGAAGAAGCACCGGCUAACUCCGUGCCAGCAGCCGCGGUAAU